UGAGGAACAUGACCUUCGGCGGGGGGAUAGCCGGCCCAACGGCCGGGUAAUACCGCGUACGACCACAUGGGGGACAUCCCUGG
rnacentral:rRNA from 1 species